rnacentral:rRNA from 1 species
GACGAACGCUGGCGGCGUGCCUAAUACAUGCAAGUAGAACGCUGAAGGAGGAGCUUGCUCUUCUGGAUGAGUUGCGAACGGGUGAGUAACGCGUAGGUAACCUGCCUGGUAGCGGGGGAUAACUAUUGGAAACGAUAGCUAAUACCGCAUAACAGUAGAUGUUGCAUGACAUUUACUUAAAAGGUGCAAUUGCAUCACUACCAGAUGGCCCUGCGUUGUAUUAGCUAGUUGGUGGGGUAACGGCUCACCAAGGCGACGAUACAUAGCCGACCUGAGAGGGUGAUCGGCCACACUGGGACUGAGACACGGCCCAGACUCCUACGGGAGGCAGCAGUAGGGAAUCUUCGGCAAUGGACGGAAGUCUGACCGAGCAACGCCGCGUGAGUGAAGAAGGUUUUCGGAUCGUAAAGCUCUGUUGUAAGAGAAGAACGAGCGUGAGAGUGGAAAGUUCACACUGUGACGGUAUCUUACCAGAAAGGGACGGCUAACUACGUG